ACAUCCAGCGAACUUGGCAGAGAUGCCUUGGUGCCUUCGGGAACGCUGAGACAGGUGCUGCAUGGCUGUCGUCAGCUCGUGUUGUGAAAUGUUGGGUUAAGUCCCGCAACGAGCGCAACCCUUAUCCUUUGUUGCCAGCGAUUCGGUCGGGAACUCAAAGGAGACUGCCGGUGAUAAACCGGAGGAAGGUGGGGAUGACGUCAAGUCAUCAUGGCCCUUACGAGUAGGGCUACACACGUGCUACAAUGGCGCAUACAAAGAGAAGCGACCUCGCGAGAGCAAGCGGGACCUCAUAAAGUGCGUCGUAGUCCGGAUCGGAGUCUGCAACUCGACUCCGUGAAGUCGGAAUCGCUAGUAAUCGUGGAUCAGAAUGCCACGGUGAAUACGUUCCCGGGCCUUGUACACACCGCCCGUCACACCAUGGGAGUGGGUUGCAAAAGAAGUAGGUAGCUUAACCCUCGGGAGGGCGCUUACCACUUUGUGAUUCAUGACUGGGGUGAAGUCGUAACAAGGUAAGCGUAGUGCU
rnacentral:rRNA from 1 species